rnacentral:rRNA from 1 species
AUUGAACGCUGGCGGCAUGCCUUACACAUGCAAGUCGAACGGCAGCACGGGAGCAAUCCUGGUGGCGAGUGGCGAACGGGUGAGUAAUAUAUCGGAACGUGCCCAGUCGUGGGGAUAACGUAGCGAAAGCUACGCUAAUACCGCAUACGAUCUAUGGAUGAAAGCGGGGGAUCGCAAGACCUCGCGCGAUUGGAGCGGCCGAUAUCAGAUUAGGUAGUUGGUGAGGUAAAGGCUCGCCAAGCCGACGAUCUGUAGCUGGUCUGAGAGGACGACCAGCCACACUGGGACUGAGACAGGCCCAGACUCCUACGGGAGGCAGCAGUGGGGGAAUUUUUGGACAAUGGGCGCGAAGCCUGAUCCAGCAAUGCCGCGUGCAGGAUGAAGGCUCGGUGUAA